rnacentral:tRNA from 1 species
GCCCGUUUGGCUUAGUGGUACAGCGUCUCACUCGUACGUCCUGCGACAUGAGAAGAUCCUCGGUUCGAUUCCGAGAAUGGGCA